GAAGCAGCAGUAGGAUCUCGCAAUGACGAAGUCGACGAGCACGCCGCUGAGUGAUGAGCUCCGUCGUAACUCGUGUAAGAGACCAGUGCUAGUGAUUAGCUGCACCUGACCGUACUUACAGAAAGCACGGCUACUACGGGCCAGCAGGCGCGGUAAUACGUAGUGCAGCGUUAUCUGAUUAUUGGGCGUAAAGCGCGGGGCAGGUGGUUUCUAAGUCUGAUGUGAAAGCCCACGGCUCAACCGUGGAGGUCAUUGUAACUGGAGGACUGAGGUCAGAAGAGAAAAGUGAAUUCAUGGUUAGCGGUGAAUGCGUAGGAAUAGGAGGACACCAGUGGCGAGGCGACCUUCUUGUCUGAACUGACCAUGAGGCGGGAAAGCGUGGGGAGCCAACCGGAAUAGAUUCCCUUGUAAUCCACCGCCUUAAAGAUGAGGUCUUAGUUUUAGGAGGUUUUCCGCCCUUAGUUCCUAAAUUAAAGCCAUUAGCCCUUCGCCCUGGGAAUUCGGGCGCCAGGGUGGAAAUCAAAAGGAAUGACGGGGGGCCGCCCCAGCGGUUGAGCCUGUUGGUUAAUUUGAAGCAACCGGAAGAACCUUUCCCGGUUCUGACCUUCUUUGAAAACCCUAGAGAUUGGGGUUUUCCUUUGGGAACCGAAUGACCGGUGGUGCCAGGUUGUUCUCAAGUUCUUUUCUGAGAAGUUGGGUUAAAUUCCGCAACGAGGGCCACCCCUGAUCCUUGUUUCCCUCCUUAAAUUGGGCCAUCCAAGGUGGACGCCGGUGGCCAACCGGAGGAAGGUGGGGAAGGAGUCAAAUUCUCCUUCCCCUUUUGACCUUGGGUUCCCCCCUGGUUCCAUGGGCGGUUCAAAGAAGUGC
rnacentral:rRNA from 1 species